GACUUAUUUUGUAAUGAUUAUGAUCAGACUCAUAAUGUGUCUGCUAUUUGGUGUAAUACUGGUGUAUUUGGUAUUACAAAUACAUUUGAUGGGUUCUGAUAUGGUUUGGAUGUAUGUUCUCUGCAGAUCUCAAGUUGAAAUGUGACCUACAACGUUGGAGGUGGGGCCUAGUCAGACGUCUUCGGGUCAUGGGGAUGGAUCCCUCAUGAAUGGGUUGGUGCUUUCCUCGUAGUAGUGAGUUCUCACUGAGUUCAUGCAAGAUUUGGUUGUUCAGAAAAGGCUGGCACCUCUUCUCUACCUCUCUUGCUCCCUACCUCACCAUGUGACACACUGGCCCUCCUUCACUUUCUGCCCUAAUUGUAAACUUCCUGAGGCCCUCACCAAAAGCAGAUACUGGCACUUUCCUUCAUGUACUAUCUGCAGAACUGUGAGCCAAAUAUAUCUCCCUUUUUUUUUUUUUCUCAAUUACCCAAUCUCAGGUAUUCCUUUAUGGCAUCACAAACUAGCUAACACAUUUGAAAUAAAACUUAUGACAGUACUGAUAUAGAUUAUAAAAUGAAGUGAGAAACGGAAUUAAAACAACCACAAGAUGUUCUAUCCAUGGAAAAUAUUGGCUAGGAGAGGAACUAGAAUUAACUUUGAAUUGAAUAAGUCUAUUGAUACCAUUCUUAAAGUUGAUGACAGAAGGAGGUAAAAUAGUUGCCAAUCUUGUGCAUGAUUAUGAACAUCUUUGUGCUGGGCUAUUUUGUUUUUGGCAAUAUUUUGAAGCAAUAUCCACAUCUCAUAUAAUACACAAAGUAUUUUGACAGCUGCCCUUUUUGCUUAUUCUGUCCCAUAAAUAGUUAAACUGAUACAGGGGAAUGUUAAGAAGGAAAAUACUUUAUAGCUGGAAUAGGACAAUUCUUUGCUUAACUCUGGGGAUAUCUGGAUAUCUAGUUUGACUCUUGGCAAAGAAAGGCAGUGGGAGCUACAAUGUGCUGCUUAAACUCUGAAAUCAUUUCAUGUCUUUACAGCUGGCUUUUACCUGGCAUAAAUGGCUAGGCUGGCUUGGGUCACACAGCCAAAGGGACAUAAUAGUCUCUACUGGGAAUUUCUGUUAUUAAUUCUUCCGAAAUCAAGCUCCAUUACAUAGGUAUUAGUGGCACAGUCCAAAGAUGAAGCAUGUCCAUUUGCGAAUAAGGAUCCUGAAGGUCAUGUGUCCAGAUCUUUCUAAGCCCUGAUAUUGGCCUGUUCUGUCUUUCUCUAGCUGUACUGUGCGCUUCAUAUUUAAAUAUAAGCCUUACAAGAGAGUG